rnacentral:rRNA from 1 species
CCAGACUCCUACGGGAAGCAGCAGUGGGGAAUCUUCCGCAAUGGACGAAAGUCUGACGGAGCAACGCCGCGUGAGUGAUGACGGCCUUCGGGUUGUAAAGCUCUGUUAAUCGGGACGAAAGGCCUUCUUGCGAAUAGUGAGAAGGAUUGACGGUACCGGAAUAGAAAGCCACGGCUAACUACGUGCCAGCAGCCGCGGUAAUACGUAGGUGGCAAGCGUUGUCCGGAAUUAUUGGGCGUAAAGCGCGCGUAGGCGGAUAGGUCAGUCUGUCUUAAAAGUUCGGGGCUUAACCCCGUGAUGGGAUGGAAACUGCCAAUCUAGAGUAUCGGAGAGGAAAGUGGAAUUCCUAGUGUAGCGGUGAAAUGCGUAGAUAUUAGGAAGAACACCAGUGGCGAAGGCGACUUUCUGGACGAAAACUGACGCUGAGGCGCGAAAGCCAGGGGAGCGAACGGGAUUAGAUACCCCGGUAGUCCUGGCCGUAAACGAUGGGUACUAGGUGUAGGAGGUAUCGACCCCUUCUGUGCCGGAGUUAACGCAAUAAGUACCCCGCCUGGGGAGUACGAUCGCAAGGUUGAAACUCAAAGGAAUUGACGGGGGCCCCGCACAAG